rnacentral:misc_RNA from 1 species
UGAGUUUGGAGUUUGUUGUUUGUUGUUUGAUUAAGAAAUGGCUGAAUACAAGUCCAAAUCUGUUCUCCUCCUCUGCGGCGACUUCAUGGAAGACUGUGAGGCGAUGGUCCCAUUUCAAGCGCUUAGCGCGUAUGGAGUUUCAGUGGAUGCUGUUUGUCCGGGGAAGAAGGCUGGCGAUAUCUGUCGGACCGCCAUUCACGACUCCUUGGGUCAUCAGACUUAUUCAGAAUCUCUUGGGCACAAUUUUACACUGAAUGCAACGUUUGAUGAAAUCAAUGUCGACAAAUAUGAUGGGUUGUUGAUCCCG